UUCUCUGGGGGAAGAGAAAGGAAUUUUGGGAUGGACUCUGUGCUCAACAUCCUCAGUGAGACACUCUCAGAGGACACCUGUCCUGAGGUCAUCCACCUGUCCUCGCGGCGUCUUCUUCUUCAUGUGUCCACAAUUUAGUCUCUAGACUGGGAGACCUUUGAGCAGUACAGCACCUGUACCACCAUCAUCCCCAUCCUGCAGCACCUUAAAUAUAAAGAACACCCGGAGGCCUUGUCCUGUCUGCUGCUGCUCUGCAGAGAGAAGAGAGGGUGAAGAUGGUCCUGAGUCGUCCCUGUCACCCCGAGGACCAGUUCACCACCAGCAUCCUGAGACACUGGGUGUCCAAUCAUGACAACACGCUGGGAGAAUACAUCAAGGUCCAGCUGAUCAAGAACAACCCGCUCCGCAAGAGACAGUCUUCACAGUUCCAGCAGUAAACUGGCUCAGCUUACCCUGGAACAGAUCCUGGAGCUCAUGGACAACCUGAGACUGAGCCUGAGCAACACCAAGAACAGCUGUCGGUACACACACAGGGUUAUUGAUUCACGUUCAGGCCAGCUGUGACGAGGUCCACAAGAUGAGGUUCAGCGACCUGUUCGCCCUGGCGGAGGAGUACAAGGACUCCCAGACAAAGUCUCCCAAGUCCCGCCGUAAGACUCCAGCCUCCUCGCCUCGCUUCCACCCACCAACAAGGAGGAUAGUGCCUCCUGCAGCGUCCGCGUACAUUGCCCCCCCUCCACCUGCUCCUCUGUGUGAGGACAACCUGAAUCUGCAUCUUGUUCUUUGAUUGCCGAGGACCUGGACGCAGGCCUGAUGGAUCGACACAGCAAUGCUACAAACUCCCCUCCCGUUUUCACCAGUGGAAACAAGUGAUCACACCAUAUCCUUUUACAUCUCUGAUGGGUUUUUCAGCCAUGUUGCGCUCUGCUGUAAUGGAACAUCCACUCAUGAAAAUACACAUGGCAAGCUGUUUGAAGGUAUCAGUCAAUCACUCCCCUCUUUCCUUAUUUUUUAGUCAUUUUCCCAUAACAAAAUUGCUUGUAAAU